rnacentral:rRNA from 1 species
UACGGGGGGAGCAAGCGUUGUUCGGAUUUACUGGGCGUAAAGGGCGCGUAGGCGGUCGUGUCAUGCCACUUGUGAAAUCUCCGGGCUUAACCCGGAGCGGUCAAGUGAUACUGUCGGACUAGAGUACAGAAGGGGCAACUGGAAUUCUCGGUGUAGCGGUGAAAUGCGUAGAUAUCGAGAGGAACACCUGCGGCGAAGGCGGGUUGCUGGGCUGACACUGACGCUGAGGCGCGAAAGCCAGGGGAGCAAACGGG